UACGGAGGGUGCGAGCGUUGUCCGGAAUCACUGGGCGUAAAGGGCGCGUAGGCGGCGAGCCAAGCGUGGGGUGAAAGUCCGGGGCUCAACCCCGGAUCGGCCUCGCGAACUGGCUGGCUCGAGCACUGUAGAGGCGGGUGGAAUUCCGGGUGUAGCGGUGGAAUGCGUAGAGAUCCGGAAGAACACCGGUGGCGAAGGCGGCCCGCUGGGCAGUGGCUGACGCUGAGGCGCGACAGCGUGGGGAGCAAACAGG
rnacentral:rRNA from 1 species